AAAUGAACCCAAAAUUCCCGUGGAGCCCACAUUAAGAGAAUCUGAGCUUCCUGUUGUGGCAAAUAUCAAAAGUAACCACAAACCCUCGCUAGCCGGCAUCAACCAUAUGGCCUUUAGCAGGGUAAUUCAUAAAACAAACCAAAUACCUUCUAUCAAUUCCAAUAUCAAUAAGCAACAUAUCAAACCAGGACUUUUGCCCAAAAUAUCUCAAUCUGUUAAGCUCUCUACCCGGAGCCACAUUUUUUCUUUAACCUUAAUAACUUCUACAAUAUAUGCCUGCAUUCACUCUCCCUGGUGUUACAGACAUUCAUCACAACUCUCUACUUGGAGGUAGUGACUAAUUUUUCCCUAUCUGAGUUCUGAACCGUGGAUGAAAAUCCCCACCUGAUUCAGGUAAUCUCUUUACUCUCUUCUUUCUAAAAACAAACUUACUCACCUUUUAAUACCUGUGAUUAAGAGAUAGCUUGUCUAACUAGGAUUUCAACCCAAAAUUCCCGUGAAGCCCACGUUAAAAAGAAUAUGAGUAUCCUGAAAGACUUUCUAAACAACUUUCUUUAAAAAGCAGCUUUUAAUCUCUAACUCUCUGAGCUGCCAUUACUUAAUACACAGUAGGGG
rnacentral:lncRNA from 1 species